ACAUAGAGUUUGGACUUUAUACAUACAGUGCUAAAGUUAAAAUAUGUUUCAAAAAGAUGACGUCACCGGGCCUCAAGAGGGAAGAAUAGAUUUGCGAUCCUAGCGAAAUAACGAUACUCUUUCUUCAUUUCGGGAGAAAACGUUUUUCUCUUACUAAAUUCUUGCAAAUCACUAUGAUUUUGAUAUAUUCAGCAUAAUUAAUAUAUUUUAAGUUUUAUAGGUUUCGCUUUAAAUCUAUUUUUGCUUUGAAAAUUUUGAAAAAAAAAGGAAAUCUAUAAACCAAGUUUUUCAUUCCGUCAAUAAAGUCAAGUGGUUUUUUUUUCUCUUUUUGUAUAGAUGAUCGCGUGGUAUACUCAUCUUCAGUCAUUUGCGUCUUUUCUGUUUAGCCUCUUUGUUUGAGAAAGCAACGAAAUAAUAGAAAUGCUACUUUAUUUGGUUUCUGAAAGAUUCUAAUUAGAUUGAAACGGAGUGUACAUUGUAAUAUACAUUGGGCCUUACGAAGAUAAAAUAUUUUUGCAAUCUAGACCCCAUAGGUUAAGGUAGGUUUAGUUUAGUUUUAGUUUCAAUUUGUAAAAGAGUGUAUCACUGCAAAUACUAGACCCUACUCAUAGUGUUGUGUUCCUGCCGGUGAGUAAGGUUGCCAGAGUUCAACGAGGGGGUGUUAGGGUCGGCAACGCGCAUGUAUCUCCUCUGGAGUUGCAGGCGUACAUAGGCUACGGAGACUGCUUACCAUCAGGCGGGCCGUAUGCUUGUUUGCCACCGACGUAGUAUUAAAAAAAAAUU